UACGAAGGGGGGCUAGCGUUGCUCGGAUUGACUGGGCGUAAAGGGCGCGUAGGCGGUUCGUACAGUCAGACGUGAAAUUCCUGGGCUCAACCUGGGGGCUGCGUUUGAUACGUGCGGACUUGAGUGCGGAAGAGGGUCGUGGAAUUCCCAGUGUAGAGGUGAAAUUCGUAGAUAUUGGGAAGAACACCGGUGGCGAAGGCGGCUAUCUGGACCGACAUUGACGCUGAGGCGCGAAAGCGUGGGGAGCAAACAGG
rnacentral:rRNA from 1 species